UUUUUUUUUUUUUUUUUGAAGCCACAGUUCACUGGUGUUGGCGGAUUUAAAAUACUUGCCUGGGGUCGCAACACAGGUUAAGGCCAUAUCCGAGAUGAGAAUCAGAAGCGCACGCGUCUGCAGGUUCAACUGGCUCCUUGGGCCAGUGGAGGGAUGGAGGCAGCUGCUCAACUUUUAACAGGCAGCCGCAACCAGACACACAGUAGGUACUCAAUUAGUGCCUUUUAGACGAUACGUGAUUUAGUAGCCACCAGUGCCCUGUCCACCGCGCAGCCCAUCCGCGGCGGAGCUCUGCUUACGGCUAACUCUGGACUAAUCAGCGCCCUUCCGGACUCCGCUGAUGGAACAGUACCGUAAAGUCAGCACCGUUGUGAACGGGGCUUUAGAAAAAUCACCCAGAACGUUCCAAGGAAAAUUACCCCGUGAAAAACUUGUGUCUGUUCAUUCCUCUCUCGCAGACAAUUCAGAGCUGUUCAGAGGGAGCCCUAAUUGCACAGAAAUGCUGACGGGGUGAGCUGGUCGUGAUCUAAGCAGGGAUUUGGAGGCAAAAAGCGGCAACAUUUGACUGACAGUAAGUGGCGGAGAAGAUGCCGAAAUCCAGUUCCUGGACACUCGGGAGGUGCUCUUUUACACCGUCUCCCCGUGAAAUUUUGCACUGGGACCACCCAGGGCUUCCCUCUAGUAGAAAUGAAGCCAGAUUUCCACCCCGAGCUGAAAUGCUAACAUCUUCCUCCACUUAAGAGCUUUACUUCUUCAAUUAUUUUAGAUAUAGCCUCAUACCUUUUAAAAAUUUUCCCAUGUAUAUGAAGGAGUUUAAAAAUUCUUAAUCACUAUAUCUCAGAGUAAGGACCCUAUUUAUUCUCAAACCUUGUCUACAACAGAGAUCUUGAACUUGUGGCCUACCUGCAUGUGUAGGACAAUAGUUCUUACCAGGUACUCAAUUUAUCAAUUCUCAACGGUUUUUUGUAAUCUUACCGUCUCUUAAAACUAUAAAAUCUA